GCGUCGGUAGUGGAACGGUUAGCAUACGCUCCCGGAAAGAGUGAGGUGUGGGUUCGAAUCCCUACUGACGCA